rnacentral:tRNA from 1 species
GUCUUCGUAGUGCAGUGGUUAGCGCGGUCGGCGCGUAUUCGAGAGGUCCCAGGUUCGAGUCCCGGCGAGGGCG